AGAAGGGUCGGAGGAGUCUGCGGGCGGCUGGCGCUGCCUACCUUGAACUCUGCGGAAAGUUGGGGCGUGUAUUCGCGCGUCCAGAGCGCGCGCACCAGCGCCGCCAGCUGCUCGGUGACCUCGGCGCGGCCCGGCGCCGCCCGGUAGCGCCCCAGCGCUAGGAACUCGGCCAGCAGGUCGGUGUUGCUGAGACACUGCACCACCGCGUUCAUGAAACAGGUGUUGCCAUGGUUCUUCAAGCCCUGAGCGCCGGGCGGACGCGCCCCGUCACCCGAAGAUAUCUGGGGUUGGGAUCCCGGAGGACGAUCUGGCCCUGGACUCCCGGCAGAGGCUGGUGCCGGGCCCGGGGCGCAGGCAAAGCCCCCUUCUCCAUCGCCAUCGUAGGGACUGGGCUGGGCCGGGGGCCGGGGCGGCGAGUCCCCCGAGCGGGAGCGGCUGCCCAGAGCUAGCAGGAAGCGGUUAAGCAGGCGGCGAAGGGAACGGCGGCGGCGGGGCCGGGGCGCGGGCGGCCCCUCUCCCAGUGCGUUCCCCACGCCCGGAUCCAUGCUGGCCACGCACGGUGGUCCGGGAGCGCAGCCCCCGAGACCCCAGGCGGGCCGGCAGCUUCCCGGUCCUCACCGCCUCCCGGAGGCGCCGGGCGCCGGCUACCUGAGAGCCAGGUGUGCGGACACCGGGCGAGGGCGGAGCCAGGGGCGGGGCCGCCACGCCACGCCCCACGCGGGAAUCCGGCCCUAGGGCAGCGCCCGCCGCCGGGCUCCCGCCCCCGCGGCUGGAGCUGGGAAUGCACUCCCUCUGAGCCCGCCUAGUGGACUUCCCCGCCCUUCCUUCCCGCCUUGGAACAGGCCUUUCACCUCGGCUCGCCUUCCCCGCCCAUCCCUAAACAGCGUAGCUAACCCGGGGAUGGAACCUUCUGAAGCGCCCAGCGAAGCAAAGCCCUGGCUCUGGCUAAGUUUCUGGUCGUGGAAGCCAGAUGAAGACUAAGAAAAUUGACCGGCGAGCGGUGCCCCUGUUCGUGCCCAGGUGUCCCGAGAGGCGCGCGCUGGCAGCUGUGCAGGCCCAGUAUCUGCCAGCAGUUUGGUCUUGGGGUUCAUUUUGAGAAUAUCCCCGGUUGUGGUGCCAAGGUAGAAGAAGCUGUCGUCGUCGGCCAUCUAGGAGAUCAGAAACAGAAACCUGAAGACUCGAGUCUCCCCAGGAGUCUAGGAAGCCCCAGUCAGAAAGGAGAUGGAAUUCCAUAACCUCUGACAAAGAAGCUCAUGGUAACAUCGGUCUCCCAAGACGUAAGGACAGGUCAGCACAGCUCUGAGUGCAGCAGAGUCAGUGCCACCCGCAGCUGGAGGGUGAAUUUUACUUGACAUUCAUUCGGGUCUGAUGCUAACACACACAUGACCAGUGCCAGCUGCUGAGUCACCUCCAAAGGGCUCUUAGGAUAAGGAUGUGCUUCCUCUAUGGGGACACACAUUUGCUUUAUUCCAGUCUCCAAAGGCUACGCUCAUAAAAGGGACUAUGCAUUAAAGGAGGAAGAAUAGAUCAAGGAAUGGAGCAGAGAGUUCUAUGAAUGAAUUAUGAUUUUGUAUAUAAUCACAUCAAUAACGUCUCUUUGUGGAAGAGUCUGCAUUUCAACAGUGCAUUUCCCCAUCAGACACUUUAUUUCCUAAGAAAGGAAUAACCAUGGUGGCAGACGGAGCUGCAACAUAUCUUCAGUGUCACCUGGCCACACUGCUUCCCUCCAGGUCAGGCUUUGGAUGUUUGGUAAUGAGUGGCGAAGGUGCCAGUGAAAUGGGACCUCUUAGCGCUUGCUGUGCUCCUUCCCAGCUGUGUGCUCCCUCUGAGCUAUACCUCCUCACCAGCAUCCCACCACCGGUCUAUCCCUCCUCUCUAGCCUGGCCCAGUGCACACACACCCCUGCUCAGGCUGCUGCUGCUGCUGCAGGCACUUGCACUAGGAGUCAAUGUAGCAACCGUUGAGGCGGUACUUACUCCAGUACUCAAGACUAUUCUUUUCAUCUGUCCUGUUUGGCACUCGGUUGGCCAGAUUUUUCUAUUUGGAAGAUCCAGUUCCCACACUCGAAUUGUCCCACUACAAAGAAAAAAAUCACAAUCAAAUGGAUACCCUUUUAAGCACUGCUUCACAUCUUUUAGGGUAUUUCCACCCCACCCCACCCCACCUCACCCCCUCUUGAAGGAGAAGCUGACAGGAAGAGGGAGAAAUAUUUCUGAGGAUUUUUACUUUUCGAGCCCACUGUACAACUUGAGAAUUUCCCACUCAGCCUCAGAGCAACACUAAGAGGUAGGUUGUAUGCUCCCCGCCUCUGCAGGUGGGACGAUGCAGACAGAGCUUACACACAGCAGAACAGGACUCAUACCCCUGCUCUGUCACGCAUUGAAGUGUACACUCUCCCCACUGUACUGAGAGAAGAAGGUAUAAUCAAGUAGACAACCCAGGCGUGGUGCAUCCUUGACUCUCAGCAUGUAGGACACUGAGGCAGGCAGAUCUCUGAGUCAGCCUGGUCUACAUAGUAAGUUCCAGGACAGCAAGGGCUACAUAAAUGUGGCCCUGUCUCAAAGAUAAAUUAACAAAUUAGUCAUGCAAAUAAAUGUAGAACAAACCAGGGUUCUUAAUAUUCAGGGAAGUCCUCUUAUUAUUAAGUGGUUACAUAUAUUUACAAUAUACAGCAUGAGGUUUUAAUGCAUAAACACACUGUGGAAAGGUUAAAUUAAACUGCUAAGCAUGUGUGUCACCUUAUUUAUCUCUUCCUAGUAAGAACACUUGAAAUCCACUCCCAUUGGAUUUCCACUUUCAGUGUUAUUUAACAUAUGCUGUGUCCGAAUAUUGCUAUGGACUGUAGUCACCGUGGGGUAUACACACUGAGUGCCCAUCGAUCGACGAGUGGAUGAUGAGUGUGCAUAUAUACAAAGGAAAACUGUUGGCCCUUAAGAAAGGUGGACAUCUGGAGAAGACCAUGCUAGCCGGAAUGAGCCCAUCACAGAAAGACAAAUAUUGCCUGAUCUCACUCUUGUGGAAUCUAAAUGGAAUGUACCAGAGGCUUGGGUGAGAGAGGGCAAGUGGAAGAUGUUUGUUCAGGACACCGAAUCUCAGUUAGGAGAAAUUAGGUGGUGAUAUCUUUUUUUUUUUUUCUUUCAGAAGCAAGAUCUCAUGUAGCCCAGGCUGGCCUCAUAACUCACUGUGUAACUAAGGCUGGCCAUAAGACUCUUGCCUCUGCUUCCCAAAUGCUGGGAUUACAGACAUGCACCUUGCUUAAUGGAGGAUGUUUUAGUUUGGAGAAUUCCUGUCUCCAAGGAUAGAGACGUGAGAUUAAAUGAGUAAAAGUUUAAGUUAGU
ensembl:processed_transcript 9130017K11Rik RIKEN cDNA 9130017K11 gene